rnacentral:tRNA from 1 species
GCCUUCAUGGUGUAGGGGUCAACACGCUUAACGCGCAUUCUAGAGGUCCGUGGUUCGAGUCCCGGCGAGGGCA